rnacentral:tRNA from 1 species
GAUGAAAGUGGCUGAAUAAGGCGAUAAACUGUAAAUUUAUUUAUGAAUCAUAUUCCUUCAUCA